AUGGACCAAUCCAUCCCUUUUUCCCGUGCAUAUGCAUCAGACUCGGAUGACGAUGGUCCCGAUGAAGAAGUUGAUGAGGAGGGGUUCACACCGAAGGAGGCCGAAGCAUUCAAGAAGGUAUUCGGGCGGGAUCCCAAGACACCAUUGUUCAAGGAUCUUAGUCUCGCGGAUGAAGCCGUUGUGGAUGGUGGCAAAUGCAUAUCUCUUGGAGCUAGGCCAAGUUCUCACCGUGAUUUGGAAGAUGGCAAGAACGGGAUAUAUCCCGGUUGUGAGUUUCAAUCCUUCUUGGAAUUGAAGAUGUGGCUCGACAACUACUCGGUUACACAUUAUCGUCCACAUAAAGUGGCCAACUCGGAUGUUAAUGUGCAUUACACGGUCAAAUGUGAAGUGCCAACAUGUCCAUGGAUUAUGCGUGCAAGGCCAUGGAAAUGA
rnacentral:rRNA from 1 species